UAGGAACCAUAUUGACUAAGUUGUUGAUGAAAGUGAUAUAACUCUUGGCUAAGAAUUCAUAACAUUUCUAUUCAAGGUACUUAGAGAUUUGUUUCAAAAAUAUCACAAAACCAUAGUAUCAUUUACUCCUCAUUAGCAAGAAAUUCCCACCAAAAGCCAUACACUUAGAUAUUCAAGUAACCAUUUUAUGAAAUGCAACCUGCUUUUGUAAUGAGUUUUGUCAAAACCUUGUUGACCCUAGUGAGAGUUGUAUCAUAGUCACAAGAUCAAGAUCACGUACACACCACAUGUAUAUAUGCUGCUUCUACACUGGAAGUACGCAACCACAUGUAUUGUGCAUCCACUAAAUAGGUUGCUCCAUACUCUAAGUGUUAGAACACCUCUCUAAAUAUUGUUUAGAAAAUGAGACAUAAAAGGCUUGGCAAAAUAAAAGAAAAAGAAAAAAUGGACAUGUGCAAGUCCAUGAAGUAUUUAAAAAAAAAAUUGAGCACAUAAAGCUCGAAGAAAAAGAAAAUCUAGCCAUGUCUCAAUAUACAAGUAGAGAGAGUGUAGCAAAUAAAAGAGCAACCUAGUCCACCAUAUAACACACUUGCACAUCUUGAUCUAUGAAUAUGACACUCCUCUCUUUGGAUCCUUGUUUUUGACUUAACAAUAUUUGCAAAGUAGAGUAUGCUACCUUGUUUAUCCCUACCAAGCCCCAUAUAAGCCUAUAGUUAUAGGAUGAAACAAGUUGGCAUUCAUGCCUUGGUGAGGACUACUAAAAAAAAACUUUGAGUGAUCUAGAGCGCUAAAUGAGGAGUAGGAUUGAACUAUGUGACUUAUUUUAAAAAGUGUCAUAAAAACUCUAAGUACCAAGAAUAUGAAAUUGGAAUUUGAUCUUGUUCUGAGAGUUGUUCCUUUUCUCAACCUCUGAAGGAUAUAUGCUAGACACUUACACAAAAACCCAUUUGGAUGAACUAUGUUCGAACUAGCAUUUUAUGCUCACUACUAUCUUAAGUUAGAAACCAUUGAUCACUCAUUUUUAACCUUUACUCGAGGACGAGCAAAGACUCAAGUGUGGGG
rnacentral:lncRNA from 1 species